ensembl:lncRNA
UUCAUGAAUCUUCCGGUUUAUUUCAGGGUAAUGACCGCUGUGCCGAAUCACAUAAUUCAAACAUAAUCACAUCGUCCAUGCAUUAUAACAUAAUACAGACAAAAUAACGUAACACAUAUUACAUAAUACCAUUCGGUAUUAAACACACAAAUUACAAAGAUGCUGAACCAUACAUCGUAAUCAUUUUAGAUAUAGUCAUCAUUAUAUAUCAUGACAAUACAUGUUAAUAACUUACACAUAUGUUAAAAAUAUAAUUACAUAGUGUUAAUUUAUAUGUACAGUAUUAAUGUACAUGUUAUCAUUCACAUAGGCCUAUAUGGUAUUAAUUGAUUUGUCGUAAUUAAUUAAACAUAUCAUAAUAAUGUAUCAUAUUCCUAUACAAUAGUUAGUAUAGCUUGAAUGUAGAUACUUAAAUAAUUUACAUAUACAAUCAUUUACAUGUAAAGUGUGAAUGUACAUAUAUAAUGAUAAUUUACAUAUAGCCUACCUGCAAAUUAUGCAUGUUAAUUAUUAUAUAUGUACAUUAUUAUCAGCUAAGUUACAUGUUGAGUAUUCAUUAACAUGUGAAUAAUCAUUGACACACGUAAUAAUCUUUUACAUGCCAUACAUACUAUUGUAAUAUAUAUAUAAAUGUACAUACACACAUAUAUUACACUGCUCAAAGCAAUGGACUGCUUGCGAUGGCAAUGGUUACAAACUGGAAAGUAGAACUUAUUCAGAUAAUAACAUAAGAUAAAGACCAACACGAAGGCCAAAGGGUUGUGAACAUCUUUCACACCCAUUUAUGAGUUAUGGUUUCAGUGUGCAUUUAUAUUGUUGCAUCAAUAAUUUUAACAGAAACAGCGCAAAGAUGUGGUUCAUGUAUGUGUUGUGAUUUCAGUGGUGUUGACUGGUCCACAGUAUAGUUACUCAGUGAGCUCAUAGGUUAGCUAGUGAUUUGCUAAUCGGUUAGUUAAUCAGUGAGCUCAUAGGUUAGAUAAUCAUUAAUCUAGUCAGCUGGCUAAUAGGUUAACUAAUGUGUUAUCUCAUAGUUUAGCUCAUCACUGAAUUCCUCCAUUAACUCAUAGGUAAGCUAAUCUUUUAGCUCAUAGGUUGGCUAACGUGUAAGCUAACCGUUUAGCGAAUCGUAUAGCUAGUGGAUUAGCUAGGAGGUUAGGCUAAUCAGUUGACUCAUAAGAUAGCCCAGUGAUGAGGCUAUGAACCCUGUGCUAGCUCCAUCGCUAUGCUACGUGGAUGGCUGCGUACUCCACGUCCUGCAAGCUAUCGCUAUGCUACGUGGAUGGCUGCGUACUCCACGUCCUGCAAGCUAUCGCUAUGCUACGUGGAUGGCUGCGUACUCCACGUCCUGCAAGCUAUCUCUACGGCGCACUCUGGGAGCCACUGGCAUCACAUCGUGAUUCAGGGCCGCGUACCAAAUGGACUGAUCCUCCUCUUCCUCCUCCUCCUCCUCCUCCUCCCCUCGGUUGCCAUAGAGACGGCCAUGCUGAGACGUCCGGUGGGGCGUGGGGGGGCUCGGGCGGGCGGUGGGGGCGUGCAAGGGAGAGGGGCGUGUCACUGGGAGGGGCUUGUCCAGGGUUAGAGUGCGCUGAUGGAUACUGAGUCAUCGGCACCACUGUGUUCUGUCAACAAUCACAUGACAAGCUGUCCUUAUCACCUGACACGCUGUCCUCCAUCACAGCUACAGUCCGUCCUCUAUCACAGCUAAAGUCUGUCUAUCACAGUCUGUCCUCUAUCACAGCUACAGUCUGUCCUCUAUCACAGUCUGUCCUCUAUCACAGCUACAGUCUGUCCUCUAUCAUCUGUCCUCUAUCAGUCUGUCCAUCACAGUCUGUCCUCUAUCACAGCUACAGUCUGUCCAUCACAGUCUGUCCUCUAUCAGUCUGUCCAUCACAGUCUGUCCUCUAUCAGUCUGUCCAUCACAG